rnacentral:lncRNA from 1 species
AGUUAGUGCACCCAGAUUUGUCUCUGAGACUCCUGUCAAUCAGGCAGUUGUAUUAAUUAGGAUAGGCUGCAGCAGCAAAGUGAAACUGACAUUUUAGAAGCUUAGCAAAAUAAAGAUAUAGUUGCAGGGCAAGGAAAGUCCAAUUUAGGUUGGGCUACACUCUUGCUUGUGACUUCACCAUAUGAAAUGUGUGGCCUCUUAGGUCACUGCACCAGGGGGAAGAAAGAUCUGGAAGACACAGCAAAAAUAUUUCUAAGAGCCACACCUGAAUGGACUUCGACUGUUUCCUCCCACAAUUCAUUGGCUAGGACCUAGUCACAUGGCUCCAAUAAUUUGAAAAUAAGGCUAGACAAUGAGUCUUCCUGUCUGCACAGGAGGAAAUGAGAUGCUAAAAAUGUCUUUCUUUCAGUGCUCUUUCCACAGAGGUUAGUAGUCUCCUACAAUAUGAGCCUGAAUAGCCAGUAACCAUUUUUUCCCACCCUAUAUAGGGGGAAAAAUACCCUUCAUAAGAAUAAAAGCAGAGAGGAAUCCUCCUGAUUAUACCAUUUGAGUCUUACAUAUAACUUCGACAAAGAACUAAACAUAUUGCUGGGUGCAGGUUAAAAUGGACUCCAAUGCAUCUGGUUGUCAGAGCUAUUGGUUCUUCUCCUGGUGAUCCACUCAAUCACAGCAAUUCAUUGAUUUUCCAGUCAAGUAUCAUGGGCUUUUCUCAUGCCUUUAGAAAACUUCAUUCAUGAUAUAGUUGCAACAGACCUUACUGACUUAGAAAUGUUGCUGUUGAGAGCAGUAGUUACUUCAUCAGAGGUAUUACAAAGACACCUUAUGCCCGGACUUAUACUCCCACUGUACUCUUUAUUCACACUAUAACCUAAGAAAGAGAUCAUGACCCUGCCACUCAUCUGUUCUGCUUGCUUUGAGGAUCUUCAAUGUGCUUUGUACAAUUAGCAUUAAUCUUAACUUCUCCAAAGUUGUUCGUGUUCAUAUGUUUACCAAGAGUACACUCAGCAUUGUGCUAUCUACUGUAAGAGGCAGAAUAAAGGUAAUUUUAGUUGUUAGUGUACCA